rnacentral:rRNA from 1 species
UGGGGAAUUUUGGACAAUGGGCGCAAGCCUGAUCCAGCAAUGCCGCGUGCAGGAUGAAGGCCUUCGGGUUGUAAACUGCUUUUGUACGGAACGAAAAAGCUCUCCCUAAUACAGGGGGUGAAUGACGGUACCGUAAGAAUAAGCACCGGCUAACUACGUGCCAGCAGCCGCGGUAAUACGUAGGGUGCAAGCGUUAAUCGGAAUUACUGGGCGUAAAGCGUGCGCAGGCGGUUUUGUAAGACAGAGGUGAAAUCCCCGGGCUCAACCUGGGAACUGCCUUUGUGACUGCAAAGCUGGAGUGCGGCAGAGGGGGAUGGAAUUCCGCGUGUAGCAGUGAAAUGCGUAGAUAUGCGGAGGAACACCGAUGGCGAAGGCAGCCCCCUGGGCCUGUACUGACGCUCAUGCACGAAAGCGUGGGGAGCAAACA